rnacentral:rRNA from 1 species
UGGGGAAUAUUGCACAAUGGGCGCAAGCCUGAUGCAGCCAUGCCGCGUGUAUGAAGAAGGCCUUCGGGUUGUAAAGUACUUUCAGUCGGGAGGAAGGUGGUAAGGUUAAUAACCUUAUCAAUUGACGUUACCGACAGAAGAAGCACCGGCUAACUCCGUGCCAGCAGCCGCGGUAAUACGGAGGGUGCAAGCGUUAAUCGGAAUUACUGGGCGUAAAGCGCACGCAGGCGGUUGAUUGAGUCAGAUGUGAAAUCCCCGGGCUUAACCCGGGAAUUGCAUCUGAUACUGGUCAGCUAGAGUCUUGUAGAGGGGGGUAGAAUUCCAUGUGUAGCGGUGAAAUGCGUAGAGAUGUGGAGGAAUACCGGUGGCGAAGGCGGCCCCCUGGACAAAGACUGACGCUCAGGUGCGAAAGCGUGGGGAGCAAACAGA